AUCUUGGCUCACUGCAACUUCCACCUCCCAGGAUCGCUUGAGCCUAGGAGUUCUGGGCUGUAGUGCCCUAUGCCGAUCAGGUGUCCGCACUAAGUUCGGCAUCAACAUGGUGACCUCCCGGGAGUGGGGGACCACUAGGUGGCCUAAGGAGGGGUGAACCGGACCAGGUUGCAAACAGAGCAGGUCAAAACUCCCGUGCUGAUCAG